GCCAACAAAGGCUCAGCCACCUCAGCUGUGCCUCUGCGCUUGCGGGCGGCUCACCAGCCACCCUCUGAAGCAGAUCAUGCCAUCCUUUCUUUUUUAAAACCCAUGUCAUCAGCAGAUCAUAAUGGAAAUCAAUCUCCUCAAACCAUCAUGCAAAGGCAAAGGCGUAUCCAUAGCAACCCCAAAAGGAAGGACACAGAGAUGCUCCAGUGACUGCAGCAAAAAAAAAAAAAAAAAAAAAAAAAAAAAGGUUAUCCUUAUCUGUUGAAAUACAGUAUAAGUUAGGCUUUGACAGCACAGUAGGCUAAGAACGCCAAUUUCUAACACAGUUCUUUCAUUCUCAGUACCUUAAGUACACCAGGGUAACAAGGGGCCAGCAGCCGCUUGCAGCUCUCUGCGCUGCUGUAAAUGGAUUUCAGCCUAAAGAUCUGACUCUUUGAAAACAGCAAUUUCACAUCUGUGUGCUUUAGCUGUCGUCCAGCCCACAGAGACGAGAGGUGUGUGUACAAGACGACUACACAAGGCUCAUUUUGUAAGCCUAGGUGGACCCCAGGACAAGGCGUACUCACACAUCAAACGCAUUUCCAGACCCCCCCGCCACGUUUGAACCCUCUAGGAUUGAUUAAUUUUUGUCUUCGUUUAACACAAAUUUCUAAACACCUGCCCACAGAAAGCCUGAGCUCGGUACGGUGUCACAGCAAGCAGGGCCCCCCUCGCAAAUCUGAAGGAGAGUGGGCAAGCCU
rnacentral:lncRNA from 1 species